GGAGGCGUUCUGGACAGGGGUUCGAUUCCCCUCACCUCCACCCAAGGGCAUUCGGCUGAGUGUGUUUGGUUGGGGGUGUACUGGCUUCGACAGGGCGGGCAAAGGUGCGCAGGCAACCCGAGAGGUGACGGACGUAAUCCGCACAAAUCCAUAAUUGCCAAUGAUGAGCAAUUCGCUAUCGCCGCCUAAAAACGGCUAGCUGGGGCCGCUGAAGCCUUAUUACCCAAGACAGCCGGC
rnacentral:tmRNA from 15 species